GUCGUUUAUCCGUGCGCAGGUGACCAUACAGGCUUGUGUAUAAAACACGUGUACUCUGGUUCAAUUCAGAGCUGAUUAUAAGAAGGCUGUGUGUUUCAAACUGUUAUCUGUGUGUACGCCGCUAUUUUCCUCGACCUCGACCAGGACGAGGACAGCAGUAUGUCCAGACGAGAGUUCUUGGACGCGAUGAUGCAGAAACCAAUUCGCUCUUUCACUCUUCUGCAGACCUUCCAACAGCACGACAUGGACGGACGUGGCUGGUUAUCCCGUUCUGAAAUCAGAGCCGUCCUGCUGGAAUCGAACGUAUGCGAACCGGAGGAUGUCGCCGACCUUACCGAUCAGGUCUUCAAAGAGGCAGAUCUGAAUAAUGACGGACGUAUCACGUUCACAGAAUUCAUGAAAGCGCUCAGUUAAUUCACACACAUGUCAGCUAACAUGCAGAAAUUAUAUUUCGUAAAUGUCCUUCAUAAUACGGAAGCGGAAUCGGUCGGAUUCAGAUGUAUCCCUUGAACAUUCUGAUAUUUGUUUUGACUAUGAAAUUUUGAAUGAUUUUCACUAUAACAUGAAAAUAAUUUAUAGCGAUCGCUAAAGAAAACACACACUACAAUCUAUGGCAAACUCUACCACAUAUAUCACUGUACGACAUAUAACGGUAAGAUACGACAAACUACGAAGAAACACGGUCGAUGUGAACAUGUCAGAUUUCCUUUCCAAGCAUGAUUAUGUUUAUUAUUAAUUCACAGUAUACUGGAAUCUGUUUAAUGAACCUAUAUCUUUUUUGCAUACAAAGACAUAUAUUUUAUUUGAUAUAGCCUUUAAAAACAAUUUAGUGCGAAUGCAACAGUGAAUAGCUUCCAUGAAAAUAUCUUAUUUGAUGCUAUUGGUAUUCAGUAGUUCCUUUAUAUGUGUGUUGCUGCCAUUGUUCAAAUAAAACUAUGUUUGACAAAAUUCCACAGUCAAUACUUCUUUCUGUGUAU